UACAGAGGGGGCAAGCGUUAUUCGGAAUUACUGGGCGUAAAGCGUGCGCAGGCGGUGAGCUGUGUCCGAUGUGAAAGCCCCGGGCUUAACCUGGGAAUGGCAUUGGAAACUGGCUCGCUGGAGUGUGGCAGAGGGGGGUGGAAUUCCGCGUGUAGCAGUGAAAUGCGUAGAGAUGCGGAGGAACACCGAUGGCGAAGGCAGCCCCCUGGGCUAACACUGACGCUCAGGCACGAAAGCGUGGGGAGCAAACAGG
rnacentral:rRNA from 1 species